GGCCGACGCGACGUACGGCGAGGGCGUCGUGCGGCUGCUGGCCGCGAUGGUCCCCGCCACGUCCUAGCCGUGGCGCCGGCCGC
rnacentral:tRNA from 1 species